rnacentral:rRNA from 1 species
GACGAACGCUGGCGGCGUGCCUAACACAUGCAAGUCGAGCGGGGUGGAGGCGAGAGGUAACUCAAGCUUCUACCUAGCGGCGGACGGGUGAGUAACGCGUGGGCAACCUGCCUCAAGGAUCGGGAUAACAGCUCGAAAGGGCUGCUAAUACCGGAUAUGCCUAUGGCCUCGCAUGGGGCUGUGGGCAAAGGGGAAACCCGCCUUGAGAUGGGCCCGCGUCCCAUCAGCUAGUUGGUGAGGUGAAGGCUCACCAAGGCGACGACGGGUAGCCGGCCUGAGAGGGUGACCGGCCACACUGGGACUGAGACACGGCCCAGACUCCUACGGGGGGCAGCAGUGGGGGAUCUUGCACAAUGGGCGAAAGCCUGAUGCAGCGACGCCGCGUGAGCGAAGAAGGCCUUGGUUGUAAAGCUCUGUCUGGAGGACGAAGAAAGUGACGGUACCUCCGGAGGAAGGCCAACGGCUAACUACGUGCCAGCAGCCGCGGUAAAAGUC